AGCGAACGUUAGCGGCGCGCCUAACACAUGCAAGUCGCACGAGGAAAGGCGUUCGGCCCCGGUAAAGUGGCGCACGGGUGAGUAACACGUGGGCAACCUGCCCAACCCUGGGGGAUAACCUGCCGAAAGGCGGGCUAAUACCGCGUACCGAGGGCUCGACUUCGGUCGGGUUCUGAAAGCAGGCCUCUGAAUUCAAGCUUGUGGGGUUGGAUGGGCCCGCGGUCCGAUCAGCUAGUUGGUGAGGUAAUGGCUCACCAAGGCAACGACGGAUAGCUGGUCUGAGAGGAUGAUCAGCCACACUGGAACUGAGACACGGUCCAGACUCCUACGGGAGGCGAGCAGUGGGGUAAUCUUGCGCAAUGGACGAAAGUCUGACGCAGCGACGCCGCGUGGGUGACGAAGGCCUGG
rnacentral:rRNA from 1 species